GAAAGUUUCCUUUGUAAAUAUUAAGCUAAACUCCAGUCAUUUCAUUUCAUUUCAUUUCUUUCUCUGUUUACUGCAAGUCUUUAUAUAAAUCAUAGCCAACAAAGAAAUCACAUAAGACUAGAAGGAAGAAAGGGAAAUUGAAGAUCAUGAAAUAGAAAAAAAAAUAAUGGAAAAAUCAAAGGUAAUUUUUAUAUGGUGAUUAUAUUUUUUUGUAAUUGGAGUGGCAUGUAGAAGAAUUAGUGUAAUUGAUUAUGUUUUGUUUAUAUUUGAUUAAUCUGGACAGAGCAAUGGCUAUGAAAUCUGGGUGAAGUAUGUUGUCAAAGUUUUGAGAUUUGAAUUCUAUAAUUGUGUCCAUAAGAUUAUUUGUUAAAAUGCCCAACACAAAAUACUUUCUAAAUUUAUUGGGAAACAGAAAGAUUAGUUGAUGUGUGUGGUAUCUGAUCUUGUAAUAUGGAAAGGAAUUAUGUUUCUACCUAUUUGGUAUAAGAAAAUAGCAACACAAAAAUAUAUUGUUGGAUGUUGAAUUGAAUUCCCAAAACUCUACCGAAGCAAAUCACUGUUUGGGUUCGAAUUCGAAGUAGCGCGGCCGCGCCACUUCCCAACCCAAGACCAGCGCGGUUGCACUGGUCCCCAAAAAAGGAAAACUUGAUAUUUGUGUUCUAAGCAUGUGUAUUCAAGUGUUAUAUGCUUCCAUAUGUGUCUAAAAGAAUGACCAAGAUAGAUAUGCAUGACUUGAGAUAUCUAAGCUUAGUUAAAAAGGAUUUAAAUGGAAAGCUAAAUAAUUUUGAAAGUAAUAGGAGUCCUAAACUUGAUUUCUAUUAACACUAAUUACACAUGUUAUAUUUAUGAUUGAAAUGUCCUAUAUGGUGUUUGAGUUAGUGAAACAUAAAUCAAACUAAUUAAUCUAAGUUUAAAAAUGAAAAUCAAGUAUAUAUUAUACUAAAUUAUUAUUAAAGAGAGACGCUAGCUUGAUUAGAAUCCUUUAAAGUUCUGGAUUCAUAUAAUCGUACUGAUUGUUGAAUAAACUUUGGAUAGCAAGGAAAAAUCAGGUUGAAGUAAUUCAGUCCUGGGCUAAAUAGGGAGUAGCGCGGCUGCGCCACUCCCUUGCCUAAUAUGCAGCGCGGCCGUGCCACCCCUAAAGAACUACCAAGAUAUUUUAUUUGUUAUCUGCGGUUUAUUACAUACUAGUUUAACUUUCCUAAGCUUCAAUACAUGUCAAGCAUGGUAUAUGGCAUGACCAAACAUAAUUUAGCUGAACUAAGCAAAAUUAAAUAAAGAAAUUCUAAUUAAAAAUAAAUUGUAUUGAAAACAAAAACAAGAUUUUGAAAAAUAAAAUCAAGAACUAUUUAUGCAGGAUAUACGUACUACACAUAUGAAUCAAUAUGUAUAUAGUAUGGCUGAAUGUGUGCAUAAAUUACCUGAUUGUAGUAUGUUAUACGUGAACAUAACUAAUGUGUACUUGCUAUAUACUUGGAACAAAUGAGUUUGUUAUACAUGACUAAUGGAUACCUAUUUGUAAGAUAUUCAAAGUAGAAUUAAGCGGUAAUCGUAAACUACGCUCAAGGCAAGUAUCUGAACUUUACUUCUUUAUUUAGCAAGUAUCUCUAAUUAAUCUAUGAACUUUCUUUAUGCAAGAGGUUUAUUAUUUCACGAGAAUCUCAAACUUAUUUACAUCUGAGCAAGUAAAUUAUAUUUGUAUGCUUGUGCAAGUUCUCUAACUUGUAUAAUUUGACAUUGGUAUGCAAAUUUCUUUAUUACUUCAAGUUCUAAAAUUUUUGAAUUAUUACGAAUGAGUCUAAGCUAAUUGUUUCAGCUAGAUUCACGUUACAAUAUUUUAUCACAAGUCUUUAUCAUCUUGUUGAAAUAGGUAGAGUCGUCCGACCAAAUUGCUUUGGUUUAGAACUCAAGUCUGAGUAUGAACAUCCCUUAUUUGAGAAAUUUUUAUUGUGCCAAUAAGGCAAUGAAAACAAGCAUGUAGUGUUGAUCAACGUAGGACAUAAAACAUGUAGUGCCCGAGAGUUAAUUGGUUGUACAGUUGAAUUACUGUUACACCUAUUUUUAGAAUUAAAAAAAACAAAGUUCAUGGUUAACUGACCGCUCGACAUCUAGAGUUAAUACAUUGUUUCAAAAAUAUAAGCGACUUGAUAUGUCAUUCAAAAAAUUGUUUCAAUAACUUCACAACAGUUUAUCCGUUGUAGAAGUAUACUCAAAGAAAACAUUUAACACUUUUAUACAUCGUUUAUUGCAUAACUUGCUGAGCAAUUGAAUGCUCAUUCUUGCUUUGAAAUUAAAUGUUUUCAGUGAAACGUGAAAGCAUAGAAGGAUAUGGCGAAAGACAAGGGAAGAUGGAAGGUGGAUGAGUAGUUGAGGACGGUUGUUUGUAUUAACCAAGUGUUUUGUAAUAAUAAUACAAUACCUAUCAUGUAAGAAUGUAAUUAAAGGUCAUCGUACCUGAGAUUGCGAGACUGAUGUAAUAUUUUUAAUUAUUAAUAUAUUAAGCAAGUUAUAUGAAUGUUAUCGUGUAGCACCAAAUACUGGUUUCAAGUACUCGGAUU
rnacentral:lncRNA from 1 species